GACCAAAAGAUAAGGUUAUAUAGAUAGGUAAAAAGAUAGUUAGGUAAAGAUAAGUUUAAAGAUCUAUUAUAAAAAGGUAAAAUUUGAAUAUAAUAGUAUAAAAUAUAAUAAACUAAAAUGCUGAAGCUAUGAUAAUUUUGAGGGAAACUGGGAUUAGAUACCCCAUUAUUCAAAACUUUAAAUCAAUAUAAAUUUACCAGAGUACUAUGAAUAGAUAAAAUUUAAAACUCAAAGGGCUUGGCGGUGUUUUAGACCAAUUAGGGGAACCUGUCUCAUAAUCGACAAUCCACGUUAAACCUAACCUUUUGUUGUAAUACAGUUUGUAUACCGUCGUCGUCAGGUAACUUUUAAAAAUUAAGAAGUUGGCAUAUACAAUAAUAUUAGUUAAAACGUCAGAUCAAGGUGCAGCUUAUAAAAAGGAGAGGAUGGGUUACAAUUAUAAAGUUAUAAUUAUGGAUAGUUUAGUGAAAAAAGCUUGAAGGAGGACUUAAAAGUAAUUAUGUAAUAUAUAAAUAGCUUGAAUAAGGCUCUGAAACGUGC
rnacentral:rRNA from 1 species